rnacentral:snRNA from 1 species
AAACUUUGCCAUAAGGAGAGAUACCAUGAUCACAAAGGUGGUUUUCCCAGGGCGAGGCUUAUCCAUUGCCUUCUGGAUGUGCUGACACCCUGUGAUUUCCCCAAAUGUGGGAAACUCGACUGCAUAAUUUGUGGCAGUGGGGGACUGCGUUCACACUCUCCCCUG